rnacentral:rRNA from 1 species
AGUCGAGCGAGAAAAGGGGAGCAAUCCCCUGAGUACAGCGGCGCACGGGUGAGUAACACGUGGGUAAUCUGCCCUGGAGUGGGGAAUAACACCGGGAAACCGGUGCUAAUACCGCAUACGAUCACGGAGUCUGCGGAUUUUGUGAUGAAAGGAGCAAUUCGCUCUAGGAGGAGCCCGCGGCUGAUUAGCUAGUUGGUGAGGUAAUGGCUCACCAAGGCAACGAUCAGUAUCCGGUCUGAGAGGACGGUCGGACACACUGGAACUGAGACACGGUCCAGACUCCUACGGGAGGCAGCAGUGGGGAAUUUUUGGCAAUGGGGGCAACCCUGACCAAGCAACGCCGCGUGGGUGAUGAAGUCUCUUGGGACGUAAAACCCUUUCGACGGGGACGAAAGCCGCAAGGUUUGACGGUACCCGUAGAAGAAGCCCCGGCUAACUCCGUGCCAGCAGCCGCGGUAAUACGGGGGGGGCAAGCGUUGUUCGGAAUUACUGGGCGUAAAGGGCGCGUAGGCGGUUCGCUAAGUCGGAUGUGAAAACUCUGGGCUCAACCCAGAGCCUGCAUCCGAAACUGGCAGGCUAGAGUUCUGGAGGGGGUAGCGGAAUUCCUGGUGUAGCGGUGAAAUGCGUAGAUAUCAGGAGGAACACCGGUGGCGAAGGCGGCUACCUGGACAGAAACUGACGCUGAGGCGCGAAAGCUAGGGGAGCAAACAGGAUUAGAUACCCUGGUAGUCCUAGCCCUAAACGAUGGAUACUUGGUGUGACUGGGAAUUGAAUCCAGUCGUGCCG